AACGAACGCUGGCGGCAUGCCUAACACAUGCAAGUCGAACGAGACCUUCGGGUCUAGUGGCGCACGGGUGCGUAACGCGUGGGAACCUGCCUUUAGGUUCGGAAUAACUCAGAGAAAUUUGAGCUAAUACCGGAUGAUGUCUUCGGACCAAAGAUUUAUCGCCUUUAGAUGGGCCCGCGUUGGAUUAGCUAGUUGGUGGGGUAAAGGCCUACCAAGGCGACGAUCCAUAGCUGGUCUGAGAGGAUGAUCAGCCACACUGGGACUGAGACACGGCCCAGACUCCUACGGGAGGCAGCAGUGGGGAAUAUUGGACAAUGGGCGAAAGCCUGAUCCAGCAAUGCCGCGUGAGUGAUGGAGGCCUUAGGGUUGUAAAGCUCUUUUACCCGAGAUGAUAAUGACAGUAGCGGGAGAAUAAGCUCCGGCUAACUCCGUG
rnacentral:rRNA from 1 species